AACGAACGCUGGCGGCAUGCCUAACACAUGCAAGUCGAACGAGACCUUCGGGUCUAGUGGCGCACGGGUGCGUAACGCGUGGGAACCUGCCCUUAGGUUCGGAAUAACUCCCCGAAAGGGGUGCUAAUACCGGAUAAUGUCUUCGGACCAAAGAUUUAUCGCCUUUGGAUGGGCCCGCGUUGGAUUAGCUAGUUGGUAGGGUAAAAGCCUACCAAGGCGACGAUCCAUAGCUGGUCUGAGAGGAUGAUCAGCCACACUGGGACUGAGACACGGCCCAGACUCCUACGGGAGGAAGCAGUGGGGAAUAUUGGACAAUGGGAGAAAGCCUGAGCCAGCAAUGCCGCGUGAGUGAUGAAGGCCUUAGGGUUGUAAAGCUAUUUUACCCGGGAUGAUAAUGACAGUACCGGGAGAAUAAGCUCCGGCUAACUCCGUG
rnacentral:rRNA from 1 species